CAGUGCAGUCAUCCAUAAAGUAGAAAGCACUACUAAACUCCUCGCCAAAGUGUAGUGUUUCCUACUUUAUGGAUGAGUGUACUGU
rfam:Xiphophorus maculatus strain JP 163 A Contig53.92, whole genome shotgun sequence.